rnacentral:rRNA from 1 species
CAGGCUUAACACAUGCAAGUCGAGGGGAAACGACAUCGAAAGCUUGCUUUUGAUGGGCGUCGACCGGCGCACGGGAGAGUAACGCGUAUCCAACCUGCCCACCACUUGGGGAUAACCUUGCGAAAGUAAGACUAAUACCCAAUGAUAUCUCUAGAAGACAUCUGAAAGAGAUUAAAGAUUUAUCGGUGAUGGAUGGGGACGCGUCUGAUUAGCUUGUUGGCGGGGUAACGGCCCACCAAGGCAACGAUCAGUAGGGGUUCUGAGAGGAAGGUCCCCCACAUUGGAACUGAGACACGGUCCAAACUCCUACGGGAGGCAGCAGUGAGGAAUAUUGGUCAAUGGACGAGAGUCUGAACCAGCCAAGUAGCGUGCAGGAAGACGGCCCUAUGGGUUGUAAACUGCUUUUAUAAGGGAAUAAAGUGAGUCUCGUGAGACUUUUUGCAUGUACCUUAUGAAUAAGGACCGGCUAAUUCCGUGCCAGCAGCCGCGGUAAUACGGAAGGUCCGGGCGUUAUCCGGAUUUAUUGGGUUUAAAGGGAGCGUAGGCCGGAGAUUAAGCGUGUUGUGAAAUGUAGAUGCUCAACAUCUGAACUGCAGCGCGAACUGGUUUCCUUGAGUACGCACAAAGUGGGCGGAAUUCGUGGUGUAGCGGUGAAAUGCUUAGAUAUCACGAAGAACUCCGAUUGCGAAGGCAGCUCACUGGAGCGCAACUGACGCUGAAGCUCGAAAGUGCGGGUAUCGAAGGGGAUUAGAUACCCUGGUAGUCCGCACGGUACACCAUAAAGGGCCGCUGUUGGUCUGAAUAGGUCAGCGGCCAAGCGAAAGCAUAA